UACAGAGGGUGCAAGCGUUAAUCGGAAUUACUGGGCGUAAAGCGUGCGUAGACGGUUGCGUAUGUCAGAUGUGAAAGCCCCGGGCUCAACCUGGGAAUUGCAUUUGAGACUGCGUAGCUAGGGUGCGGAAGAGGGAAGCGGAAUUUCCGGUGUAGCGGUGAAAUGCGCAGAUAUCAGGAGGAACACCAAUGGCGAAGGCAGCACUCUGGGACGUGACUGACGCUGAGACGCGAAAGCGUGGGGAGCAAACAGG
rnacentral:rRNA from 1 species